UCUCCCUCCGCAUCCGCGACUCCGACGACGACGAGUCACGAGAGGGGAGGCUCGUUCUUGAUCCAUGGCGGGCUCCUCCUCCGAGCUGAUCUACCGCCGCGGCCACGACGCGCAGCCGGCCGCGGGUGACGUUGACGGCUGCGGCGUGAUGGCCGCCGCCGGGUACUCAUCAUCGGCCAAGCCGCCGCACAAGCCACCACUCGGCCCGCUGCGGUAUCUGCUCGCCGAGCAGCGGCUGGUGUUCGCGCUCGUCGGCAUGGCCAUCGCGUCGCUGGUCUUCCUCCUGGCGGCUCCGUCGUCGGGGAACGGAGGCCGCCACGAGGUGAUGAACGGCGGCGCGGCGCGGCUGGCGGCGGCGGGGCUGGCGGUGCGGCAGUACUCCGGCGUGGCGGCGGCGGCGGCGGGGGCGCGCGUGCCGCUGGGGCUGAAGAAGAAGGUGCUCCGCGUGGUGGUGACGGGGGGAGCC
rnacentral:lncRNA from 1 species